GCGAGAAAACUUUGCAAUGUGCGAAAGCACGACAAGGUUAAUCCGAGUGGUUUCUGCUAAAGAAACCUUUUGUCAGUCCUAGAAACACUAACGAAUAAGGGGUGGGCAAGUUCUGGUGUCAGCCGCCGCGGUAAAACCAGCACCUCAAGUGGUCAGGAUGAUUAUUGGGCCUAAAGCAUCCGUAGCUCGUUUUGUAAGUUUUCGGUUAAAUCCAUACGCUUAACGUAUGGGCUGCCGGGAAUACUGCAUAACUAGGAAGUGGGAGAGGUAGACGGUACUCGGUAGGAAGGGGUAAAAUCCUUUGAUCUAUUGAUGACCACCUGUGGCGAAGGCGGUCUACCAGAACACGUUCGACGGUGAGGGAUGAAAGCUGGGGGAGCAAACCGGAUUAAAUACCCACGUAGUCCCUGAGCGGGCUGGCAAGGCGCAU
rnacentral:rRNA from 1 species